AUUGAACGCUGGCGGCAGGCCUAACACAUGCAAGUCGAACGAGUGGCGGACGGGUGAGUAAUGUCUGGGAAACUGCCCGAUGGAGGGGGAUAACUACUGGAAACGGUAGCUAAUACCGCAUACCAUCGGAUGUGCCCAGCUGGGAUUAGCUUGUGGGUGGGGUAACGGCUCACCAAGGCGACGAUCCCUAGCUGGUCUGAGAGGAUGACCGGCAACACGGGAACGGAGAAGCGGUCCAAACUCCUACGGGAGGCAGCAGUGGGGAAUAUUGGACAAUGGGCGCAAGCCUGAUGCAGCCAUGCGGCGUGUAGGAAGAAGGCCUUCGGGUUGUAAAGUACUUUCAGCGAGGAGGCGUUACCCGCAGAAGAAGCACCGGCUAACUCCGUGCCAGCCGCCGCGGUAAUUC
rnacentral:rRNA from 1 species